GGUUGUGCCCACCAUGGCCUGGACUCCUCUCCUCCUCAUGCUUCUCUCUCAUUGCACAGGUUCCCUCUCCCAGCCUGUGCUGACUCAGCCACCUUCCCUCUCUGCAUCUCCUGGAGCUACUGCCAGACUUACCUGCACCCUUAGCAGUGGCUUCAGUGUUGAUACCUAUGGGAUACACUGGUACCAGCAGAAGCCAGGGAGCCCUCCCCGCUUUCUCCUGUAUUACCUCAGAGACUCAGACAAGCACCAGGGCUCUGGAGUCCCCAGCCGCUUCUCUGGAUCGAAAGAUGUGUCAGCCAAUGCAGGCAUUCUGCACAUCUCUGGACUGCAGCCUGAAGACGAGGCUGACUAUUACUGUAAGAACUAUGAUGGCAGCUCUAAGCUCACACAGUGCUCCAGACCCAUGGGGAAGUGA